GGGCAUGGGCGGCAGGCCCUAAACAUGCAAGUCGAACGGUAACAGGAAACAGCUUGCUGCUUCGCUGACGAGUGGCGGACGGGUGAGUAAUGUCUGGGAAACUGCCUGAUGGAGGGGGAUAACUACUGGAAACGGUAGCUAAUACCGCAUAACGUCGCAAGACCAAAGAGGGGGACCUUCGGGCCUCUUGCCAUCGGAUGUGCCCAGAUGGGAUUAGCUAGUAGGUGGGGUAACGGCUCACCUAGGCGACGAUCCCUAGCUGGUCUGAGAGGAUGACCAGCCACACUGGAACUGAGACACGGUCCAGACUCCUACGGGAGGCAGCAGUGGGGAAUAUUGCACAAUGGGCGCAAGCCUGAUGCAGCCAUGCCGCGUGUAUGAAGAAGGCCUUCGGGUUGUAAAGUACUUUCAGCGGGGAGGAAGGGAGUAAAGUUAAUACCUUUGCUCAUUGACGUUACCCGCAGAAGAAGCACCGGCUAACUCCGUGCCAGCAGCCGCGGUAAUACGGAGGGUGCAAGCGUUAAUCGGAAUUACUGGGCGUAAAACGCACGCACGCGGUUUGU
rnacentral:rRNA from 1 species